rnacentral:rRNA from 1 species
GACGAACGCUGGCGGCGUGCCUAACACAUGCAAGUCGAGCGGAGUUUGGCCGGUUUUAAUUUCGGUUAAAACCGGCCAAACUUAGCGGCGGACGGGUGAGUAACACGUAGGUAACCUGCCCAUGACACGGGGAUAGCUUCGGGAAACCGAAGGUAAUACCCGAUACCUUUACGCAUCCGAUGGUGUGUAAAGAAAGCGAUUUAGCGGUCAUGGAUGGGCCUGCGUCCCAUUAGCUAGUUGGUGAGAUAACAGCCCACCAAGGCAACGAUGGGUAGCCGGCCUGAGAGGGCGACCGGCCACACUGGAACUUAGAUACGGUCCAGACUCCUACGGGAGGCAGCAGUGGGGAAUUUUGGCGCAAUGGGGGGAAACCCUGACCCAGCGACCCCCCGUGACCAUGAAAGGCCUUCGGGUCGUAAAGCUCAGUCCUUUGGGGAUGAAAAGGACAGUACCCAAAGAGGAAGCCCCGGCUAACUACGUGCCAGCAGCCGCGGUAAUACGUAGGGGGCGAGCGUUGUCCGGAAUUACUGGGUGUAAAGGGCGUGUAGGCGGGGAUGCAAGUUACCGGUAAAAACCCGUGGCUCAACCACGGGCUUGCCGAUAAAACUGCAUCUCUUGAGUGUAGGAGAGGGAAGUGGAAUUCCCGGAGUAGCGGUGAAAUGCGUAGAUACCGGGAGGAACACCAGUGGCGAAGGCGGCUUCCUGGCCUAUCACUGACGCUGAGGCGCGAAAGCUAGGGGAGCGAACGGGAUUAGAUACCCCGGUAGUCCUAGCCGUAAACGAUGGUCACUAGGUGUGGGUGGUGGUCAAGCCAUCCGUGCCGGAGCUAACGCAAUAAGUGACCCACCUGGGGAGUACGGCCGCAAGGUUGA